rnacentral:lncRNA from 1 species
UUUUACGCGAAAAUCUUGAGAUCUUGGAGAAUUUGGAGUCAGACAAAGAGUACUUCACUGUUCCUUAUUUUCCUGAUAGAGUUGAAUUCACAAGACCUCAGGUUCCUGUGGAAACAUAUGUUCCUGGAGACUGGAAGGAGUUCUUGGAUGAGAUUAAAGAAGCGGACAAGACAUCCUAUGGAGUGGUGGUCAACACAUUUCAAGAGCUGGAGCCUGCUUAUGUCAAGGGCUACAAGGAGGCAAGGUCAGGUAAAGCAUGGUCCAUUGGACCUGUUUCCUUGUGCAACAAGAUAGGAGAAGAUAAAGCUGAGAGGGGAAACAAGGCGGUCAUUGGUCAAGAUGAAUGUUUUAAAUGGCUUGAUGCUAGAGAAGAAGGGUCGGUGCUAUAUGUUUGCCUUGGAAGUAUCUGUAAUCUUCCUCUGUCUCAGCUCAAGGAGCUUGGGUUAGGCUUAGAAGAAUCCCAAAGACCUUUCAUUUGGGUCAUAAGAGGUUGGGAAAAGUAUAAUGAGCUUGCUGAGUGGAUCCUAGAGAGCGGCUUUGAAGAAAGGGUGAAAGAGAGAGGGCUUCUCAUAAAAGGAUGGGCACCUCAAGUGCUUAUCCUUUCACAUUCUUCUGUUGGGGGAUUCUUGACACAUUGUGGAUGGAACUCAACUCUUGAGGGGAUAACCUCUGGUCUCCCACUCCUCACAUGGCCUCUAUUUGCAGACCAAUUCUGCAAUGAGAAACUAGUUGUGCAGGUACUAAAGGCCGGUGUGAAAGCCGGGGUUGAGCAGCCUAUGAAAUGGGGAGAGGAAGAGAAGAUAGGAGUGUUGGUGGAUAAAGAAGGUGUUAAGAAGGCAGUUGAAGAGUUAAUGGGUGAGAGUGAUGAUGCAAAGGAGAGAAGAAGAAGAGCCAAAGAGCUUGGAGAGUUAGCUCACAAGGCUGUGGAAGAAGGAGGCUCUUCUCAUUCUAAUAUCACUUCCCUCUUAGAAGACAUAAUGCAACUAGCACAAUCCAAUAAUUGAUUAUGUCAUUGUUAAAAGAAAUACAAAUAUUUAUACAUUCUUUAUUUGGAGGAUAGGAGACUUAGUCCAACACGUCCAUAAAGUUAGGUUAAACUUCUUUUAAACAUAUCUAAAAACUUUAAUGAACAACUAGAAUUUUUGGUGGAUUCUCAACCAAGUAAAUCAAAUAUAAAUCUGUCAUAUAAGUUUGAUAUCGUCAGCUUCCUUUGGUUUUUGUUCACUCAUUUUCUAUAUUGCUCCUUUUUGCAUUCACCUUUCUAAUCUUUGUUUGAUCUAAUUCUUAAAAGUCUUAUCAUCUCAUUAUCUAUAGAAUCUUUUUCCAUUACCGAACUCAGGAAAGAAACAUUCACACGAAAGUGUUGUAGGCUCUGGACCUAUGUUCUUUUUUUUUAUUGAUUGUGAUUUUUGAGGCUUCUUGAUACAUAUAGCUGUCUUGAAAAGAGUCCAAAGUUGGAUUUAUCUUCUCGUACUGUUUAUAUUGGAUUGGAGUUUAAUCGAUCUUUAAAGUUUCAAACACUUCUCCUUGGGGUUAAAUUAUUAAUUUAGGUGCCUUUAUUGUAACAAUUUAAGGAUUUACAGAACAUGUAGCUAUCAACAGGCCUCCAAGUUGUUGUUUUUGUGUCUGAAUUAUCUUCUUUGUGUAAGGGAAAGUCAUUACAGGAUGCAAGAUAGGGUCGCAAAGGGACAAACUAUGGAUACACAAUCUGUGGACUGUAUUGGAUGUGUUUGUCAAGUAAAAUCUAUUUUACGUCAUGUAUUACGUCUUCUGUUCAGUUUUUUUUUUGCUCUCCACGCAUCUUUGUUCUAUAUAAGCUCUCUCGCUCUCACAAAUAUAAUCCAGAACCAAGACAAAACUUGAGAGUUUAUCAUCAGCAUGGGUUCUGAAACAGCUAAAAAAUCUUAUCCUCUUCACUUUGUUCUCUUCCCUUUCAUGGCUCAAGGCCACAUGAUUCCCAUGGUGGAUAUCGCAAGGCUCUUGGCUCAGCGAGGUGUGACCAUAACCAUUGUCACAACGCCUUACAAUGCAGGGAGGUUCAAGAAUGUUCUAAGCCGUGCCAUUGAGUCAGCUGGCUUGCCCAUCAAGGUAGUGCAUGUGAAGUUUCCAUCUCAAGAAGCUGGUAUGCCAGAGGGAAAAGAAAAUAUAGAUUUGCUCGACUCCAUAGAGAUGAUGAUACCUUUCUUUAAAGCAGUUAACAUGCUCGAAGAACCGGUUCAGAAGCUCAUGGAAGAGAUGAGCCCUCCACCAAGCUGCUUAAUCUCUGACAUGUGUUUGUUUUAUACAAGCAAACUCGCCAAGACGUUCAAUAUACCAAAGAUCCUCUUCCAUGGCAUGUGUUGCUUUGGUCUUCUGUGUAUGCAUAUUUUACGCGAAAAUCUUGAGAUCUUGGAGAGUUUGGAGUCAGACAAAGAGUACUUCACCGUUCCUUAUUUUCCUGACAAAGUUGAAUUCACAAGACCUCAAGUUCCUGUUGAAACAUAUGUUCCUGGAGAGUGGAAGGAGUUCUUGGAUGGAAUUAAAGAAGCUGAUAAGACAUCCUAUGGAGUGGUGGUCAACACAUUUCAAGAACUGGAGCCUGCUUAUGUCAAAGACUACAAGGAAGCAAGGUCAGGUAAAGCAUGGUCCAUUGGACCUGUUUCCUUGUGCAACAAGGUGGGAGAAGAUAAAGCUGAGAGAGGAAAUAAAUCAGAUAUUGAUAAAGAUGAAUGCCUUAAAUGGCUUGAUUCUAAGGAAGGUGGUUCUGUGCUCUACGUUUGUCUAGGAAGUGUCUGCAAUCUUCCUCUGUCUCAGCUCAAGGAGCUUGGCCUAGGCCUAGAAGAAUCUCAAAGACCUUUCAUUUGGGUCAUAAGAGGUUGGGAAAAAUAUAAAGAGCUUGCUGUGUGGAUCUUGGAGAGCGGCUUUGAAGAAAGGGUGAAAGAGAGAGGGCUUCUCAUUAAAGGAUGGGCACCUCAAGUGCUUAUCCUUUCACACCCUUCUGUUGGAGGAUUCUUGACACACUGCGGAUGGAACUCAACUCUUGAGGGGAUAACCUUUGGUCUCCCACUGCUUACAUGGCCGCUAUUUGCUGACCAAUUCUGUAAUGAGAAAUUAGUGGUGGAGGUGCUAAAAGCUGGUGUGAAAGUAGGGGUUGAGGAGCCUAUGAAAUGGGGAGAAGAGGAGAAGAUAGGUGUGUUGGUGGAUAAAGAAGGUGUUAAGAAGGCAGUUGAAGAGUUAAUGGGUGAGAAUGAUGAGGCUAAGGAGAGGAGAAAAAGAGCCAAAGAGCUUGGAGAGUUAGCUCACAAGGCUGUGGAAGAAGGAGGCUCUUCGCAUUCUAAUAUCACAUUACUGUUAGAAGACAUAAUGCAACUAGCACAAUCCAAUAAUUGAUUUAUGUCAUUGUUAAAAGAAAUAGACAUUUAUACAUUAUUCUUCAUUUACUUUGUUUGGAGGAUAUGAGACUUAGUCCAACACGUCCAGCAGAAGACAAGUCAGUGAUAAUAACUUUCCCUUUUUGAAGUCAAGUUCAGAAGUUAGGUUAAACUUCUUUUUAAACAUAUCUAUAAACUUUUAUGAACAACUAGAAUUUUGGUUGAUUCUAAACCAAGUAAUCAAUAUUGUCAUAUAAAAUUUGAUAUUGUCAGCUUCCUUUUAUUUGUUCACUUUCACCUUUCUAAUAUCUGUUUGAUAUAUUCUUAGAAGUGUAAUCAUGUAAUUAUUUGUAGGGAAAUUGGUCAAAUGUUUAUAUUUCUUUUAACAUUAGACUUGGCUAUUAAGAAGCAACAAAAAUCUACAUAUUCAAAAGAGGAGGUCAUGAAAAUAUAUAAGUAAAAGCUUGAUUUAACAGUUUUCAAUUUUUUUUUGUUUUAUUUUUUCUUUUAAAGUCGAGAAAAACAUUUUUGAGUCAACAUUUAUAAUAAUAAAAUACACUCAUGUUAAACUGUAUUUUAUUUAAGAAAAAAAAUUAUUUGUAACAUCUAUUUUAUAAAUUUAAACAAAUAUAUAUUAAAAUAACUUAAUUAGUUCUUGGAUUGUGCUAAUUGCGAUAUGUCUUGUAAGAGGAAUGUGAUGUUAGAAUGAGAAGAGCCUCCUUCAUCCACAGCCCUGUGAGCUACCUUUCCAAGCUCUUUGACUACUCGUCUUCUCUCUUUUGCAUCAUCACCAUCACCCAUCAAUUCGUCAACUGCCUUCUUCACUCCUUCGUUAUCCACCAACACUCCUAUUUUAUCCUCUUCUCCCCAUUUCAUAGUUUCUUCAAUCCCAGCUCCUACACCAACUUUAAGAACCUGCACAACCAGUUUCUGGUUGCAGAACUGGUCUCCAAACAAUGGCCAUGUGAGCAAUGGAACACCUGAGGUGAUUCCUUCUAGAGUCGAGUUCCAUCCACAAUGAGUCAAGAAUCCUCCUACAGAAGGGUGUGAAAGGAUAAGCACUUGUGGUGCCCAUCCUUUUAUGAGAAGCCCUCUCUCUUUGACCCUUUCUUCAAAACCACUCUCUAAGAACCACUCAGCUAGCUCAUUAUACUUUUCCCAACCUCUAAUGACCCAAAUAAAAGGUCUUUGGGAUUUCUCUAGGCCUAGCCCUAGCUCCUUUAGCUGAGACAGAGGAAGAUUGCAAAUACUUCCAAGGCAAACAUAUAGCACUGACCCUUCUUCUUUAGAAUCAAGCCAUUCAAAACAUUCUUCUUGAUCAAUGACCGCCUUGUUUCCCCUCUCGGCUUUGUCAGCUCCUUUCUUGUUGCACAAGGAAACAGGUCCAAUGGACCAUACUUUCCCAUCUCUAGCCUCUUUGUAAUCUUUGACAUAAGCAUCCUCUAACUCCUGAAAUGUGUUGAUUAUUACACCAUAUGAUGUGUUUUCUGCUUCUGCCAUUGCAUCCAAGAACUCCUUCCAGUCUCCAGUUGCAUUGAUUCUCACUGGAACUUGAGGCUUUGUGAAUUCAACUUUGUCAGGAAAAUUAGGAACAAAGAAAUACUCUUUUUCCGACUUCAAAUUCUGCAAGAUCUCUAGGUUUUGGCGUAAAACAUGCAUACACAAAAGGCAAAAGCAAGAGAAUCCAUGAAAAACGAUCUUUGGUAUAUUGAAGGCCUUGGCGAUUUUGCUUGUAUAAGGCAAACACAAAUCACAUAUUAGACAGCUUGGUCUAGGCUUCAUCUCUUCCAGUAGCUUCAUGACCGGUUCUUCGAGCAUGUUAACCAUUUUAAAGAAAGGUACUAUCAAAUCCUUGGAGUCAAGCGAAUCCAUGUUCUCUUUUCCUUCUGGCAGCCCAGCUUCUUGGUAUGGAAGCUUCACAUGCACUACGUUGAUGGGCAAACCAGCCUCCACGGCACGGUUUAAGACAUUCUUGAACCUCUCUGCGUUGUGGGGCGUCGUGACAAUUGUUAUAUGGUCACGCCGCGCUGAGCCAGGAGCCUUGCAAUAUCGACCAUGGGAAUCAUGUGGCCUUGAGCCAUGAAAGGGAAGAGAACAAAGUGAAGAGGUGGAUGAGCUUGUUGAGGUUUUUGGGAAGCCAUACUUGUUUUAAAUCAGUGAAGAACUUUCGAGUUUUGUUUUUGACUAUAUGGAGGAUAAGAAGAGUGGGAAUAAAAAUGGCUUAACCAAAAUGAUGUAGUAGAUGACGUAAAACUGUACUUUAAAGACAGAUUAUUACGUUCAAGAAGACACAAAUCAAAUUGAACUCUCUCUCUCUCUCUCGGACAUUACCAAAAUCAAUUUGUCUUUGAAAAUUCAACGUUCAGUUCAAAGUCUCCUAAUCUAAGCUUUGCCCACGGAAAUAACUAUCAGAGGCAGCAAAAAUCAAAUUCAAUGGACUAACAUGUUAUUCUAGGAUUCGUGUCUAACAUAUUAUUAUAUGACAAGACUUUCUAUGUAACGAAUAUACUUUUAUUAUAUAGUAUAUUGAAAACUGAAAAAUAAUCUAUCUAAUUAAAAAAUAUUGCAUAACAUUAUAUUUAGUGUAAUUUGUAUGAUAUAUCAUAUUAUAAUACAUAUCUUUUGAAAUAUUUGAUGACUUGAAUGAAUAAUUUUUGUUUUUAAUUAAAAGCAUCAUAUGUGAAAACUUCUAUAAAUAAGUAUAUAUUGUUUGCUCUUUCUCAUUAACCGAUUAAUAAAAGUGAUUUAUUAGUAUAUGUUGUGAUAAUAUAAGGAAAGCUUUUUUAUUUUUUAUUUCUUUGGUUAUAUACUUAAUUAUGUUUUUUUGUCAUUCAGCUCUAUUUCCCUUGCUUUAUUUAUAAUUGGAGACUUAGUCAGCAAGUCCAGCAGAAGACAAGUCAAUGAUAAUAACUUUCACUUUCUGAAGUCAAAUUCCGAAAGUCAGCUUAAAUUUCUUUUAGACAUAUCUUAAAAAUUUUAUAAAUGAAUAACUAAAACUAAUACCAAUCGUGCAGGUUCUUAAAGCCGGUGUAGGAGCUGGGAUUGAAGAGGUUAUGAAAUGGGGAGAAGAGGAGAAGAUAGGCGUGUUGGUGGAUAAUGAAGGUGUGAAGAAGGCAGUGGAAGAAUUGAUGGGUGAUGGUGAUGAUGCUAAGGAGAGAAGAAGAAGAGCCAAAGAGCUUGGAAAGCUGUCUCACAGGGCUAUGUAUGAAGGAGGCUCUUCUUAUUCUAACAUCACAUUCCUCUUACAAGACAUAUCGUAGUUAGCACAAUCCAAGAAUUGAUUACGUCAAUAUUUUCUUAAAGCUAUAAAAAAAUGUUACCAAUAAUGUCUUUCUUAAGAAAAUAUAGUUUAUCAUUCUUCUAAUAAUAUAGUUUAUCACAGAAAAGAUAAACAAUACUAAAGAUAAAUAAAAUGUUGUAAAAUGUUGGCGACUCAAGCGACUAUCUUUCAUCUUUGGAAACAGAGAAACACCGCUUAUCACAACAGCUGUGUGGUUCUUUCUCCUGUGAUCUCGAAAAUGAUUUAUAAGGAUGUCAACAAUACGAUCUUGGCAAGAAGAAAUAGGAAGCAAUUUCGUACCCUCUUGAUCUCUUUGGAUCACUUAAUCUUUGUGUAAUGUUGCUCUACUUAAUCUACCUUUGUUUUAUUUGUUUUUGCCUAGGUAGAGUUUUUUUUAGAUUCUACUUUGUAAAAUCUGAACAUCAUUAAAUAUGAUAUUAGCAUUCUUAGCAAAAAAAUAAAUAAAAUGUUGUACGACGAAGCUUUCAUUUAUAUAUUUGCAUGGCAAGUCUUUUUUUUUUUUUUUGCAUGGCAAGUUUAUUUGGCGGCUGUGGACUUAAUACACAAGUGUUGUGAUUUACUUAUCUUUUGAUGGUCAUGAUAUAUUAUGAACGUGAAGUAAUAGAUCUUUUUUUCAUUUUUUGUUUUAUGAGGAUUAUCUAAUAUAUAUCUUUUGAUGGUAUAUAUAUUAGUACUUUUCGGUUUCAUAAAUUUUUUUUUUUGUUCAUAGUAUUAAGAAGACAUAUUAAAUUUAUAAUAAAUGUAUUAAUUUUUAUAAAUAUAUUUUUUUAAUAAAGUUACGAUUUGUUAUCAUUAAAUAAUAUAAAAUUUACAGAAUACACGAAAAUUCUAUAUUUGCAAAACAAAAUUUUCCCCAAACUUUUUAGUGGAAUUAACGGAGGUAGUAUCAAUGAAACAAAAUGAUAAAUGGGUGAAACCUAUACUUAGUUCCACCAUUUUCUUCGAGUUCCAACAAUUUUUGUAGUUCCACUUCGAGUUCUAACACUCUUUACUCCAGUUCCAAAUUCGAACAAUCUUCUUAGGCGCAAAACUUACGUAAACAACAGCUUUGGAUAAUUGGCUUCAGUAGUAGGUAUUGUCUCUUUGUAAAAAAAUAUGGGGGACCAUGAUUAGAAUCCACGAAAAUUUCAAUAACAGUUUGUCACUAUACAUGUCUUCAUGUCUUAAAUGACAAGAAAACUGAUCAAUGUGCUUAAUAGAUAAGUCUAGAGUUAAUUUGGUCUGGUUAACAAAAAGAAACACGUACGUUAUAUGCAAAUUAGUCUUUAAAGCUAUGUGGCUAGACAGAAUAUGAACCCUCAAAACAAGGACUAAUAUAUACCAUCCCUUGGAAGAUUUUGGCAUGCAAAAACCAUAGUGGUACAGCAUAUAUCUUAGUAUGUAAUUGUCCUAUAUACUUUUGAAGAUGAGUACUCUUAAGUUUUAUGCCUUUUUAUUGGUGCUUUGAUGGUUGUAAAUAUCAAAUCUAUGUUUAUCCAGAUAAUGUUAUAGAGAUUACCGUGGGCGAAGUUAUAGAGAUUACCGUGGGCGAAGCUUGAUUUGAAGGCUUUGAAAUGAACGUUGAAGUUUCAAAGACAAUUUGAUUUUGGUAAUGUCCGAGAGAGUUAAAAUUGAUUUUGCGUCUUGCGCAUCAAGUAUCUUAAUUAAUUUUAAUUACCUCUUAGUAACUUUCAAGGGAAAUAAAGGACACUAGGAGACGCAGAAUAGUCACAAAAGGACAACAGAAGAAAGUAUUGGCCAAGAAACGUCUUCUUGAACGUAGUAAUCUGUCUUUUAUGUCAACAAUAUUAUGUGUUGCUUGACGUCAUGUACUACAUCAGUUUGGUCUUAUACAUCUUAUAUAAGCCAACGAUCAGUCGAUCACACACCCACAACACAAGCAAAACAAACUUGAAAGUUGAAAUCACUAUGGCUUCCCAAAACUCUCAACAACUUCAUCCUCCUCUUCACUUUGUUCUCUUCCCUUUCAUGGCUCAGGGCCACAUGAUUCCCAUGGUUGAUAUUGCAAGGCUUCUGGCUCAGCGCGGUGUGACCAUAACAAUUGUCACAACUCCUCACAACGCAGAGAGGUUCAAGAAUGUAUUCGACCGUGCCAUCGAGUCUGGUUUGCCCAUCAACGUAGUGCAUGUGAAGCUUCCAUAUGCAGAAGCUGGGCUGCCAGAAGGAAAAGAGAAUCUCGACUUGCUCGACUCGAUAGAGUUCAGGGUACCUUUCUUUAAAGCAGCUAACAUGCUAGAAGAGCCGGUCCUGAAGCUACUAGAAGAUAUGAAACCUAGACCAAGCUGUCUAGUUUCUUCUUUUUGUUUGCCUUAUACAAGUAAAGUCGCCAAGGCGUUCAAUAUACCAAAGAUCGUUUUCCAUGGAUUGUCUUGCUUUUGUCUUUUGUGCAUGCAUGUUUUACGCCAAAACCUAGACAUCUUGCAGAACUUAAAGUCUGACAAAGAGUAUUUCUUUGUUCCUAGUUUUCCUGACAGAGUUCAAUUCACAAAGCCUCAGUUCCCUGUGAGCACCAAUGAAAAGGGAGGUUGGACGGACAUCUUGGACGCAAUGAUAGAAGCAGAUAACACAUCUUACGGUGUAAUCACCAACACAUUUCAAGAGCUGGAACCUGCUUAUGUCAAAGAGUACAAAGACGCUAGAGAUGGGAAAGUAUGGUCAAUUGGACCUGUUUCCUUGUGCAACAAGAUAGAAG